ACAAUUUAUCGGGCGGCUGGCAGGCGGCUUUUAAAGCCUUAAUAGGGAAGCCGGUGCGAAUCCGGGACGGUCCCGCCGCUGUGAUCGGGGACGAAACCCGCUAUUUAAGCCACUGCCCUGCUACAGCAGGGUGGGAAGGCGCGGGCGGUAGGACGAUCCGAGAGUCAGAAGACCUGCCCCCAGCCGGCGCUCUAG
rnacentral:ncRNA from 1 species